rnacentral:tRNA from 1 species
GCUCCUGUGGCGCAAUGGUAGCGCGUCAGACUUCUAAUCUGAAGGCUGUGGGUUCGAGUCCCACCAGGUGCA